UACGUAGGGGGCGAGCGUUGUCCGGAUUUAUUGGGCGUAAAGAGCGUGUAGGCGGCUAGAUAGGUCCGUUGUGAAAACUCGAGGCUCAACCUCGAGACGCCGGUGGAAACCAUCUAGCUAGAGUCCGGAAGAGGAGACUGGAAUUCCUGGUGUAGCGGUGAAAUGCGCAGAUAUCAGGAGGAACACCGGUGGCGAAGGCGGGUCUCUGGGCCGAUACUGACGCUGAGGAGCGAAAGCGUGGGGAGCGAACAGG
rnacentral:rRNA from 1 species